rnacentral:rRNA from 1 species
AGAAAUUUUAAUAUUAAAAUAUUUAAUGGGGGUUAAAGUAAUUUUAAUAGAAAAAAUUUGAAAUUUUAUAGUUAAUAAGUAUUGUAAAAGAAAUUUGAAAUAAAUUUAAAAUAAAUUUUUUAAAAAGUAAAUUUAAUUUAUUGUAUCUUGUGUAUCAGAGUUUAUUAAAAAUUUUUUAUAUUAUAAAUUUCUCGAAUUUAAAAGAGUUAAUUAAUUAUUAAAUUUAUUGUAUCAUAAAUAUUUUAAAUAAUUAAUUGGAAAUGAAAUGUUAUUCGUUUUUAAAUAUAUCUAGUUUUUUAAGAAAAAAAUUUAAUUUUUAAUUAAUUUUAAAAAUUAAUUAAUUAUAAUUAAUUAAUUUUUAAAAUUAAUUUAAUAUUUUAAGGGAUAAGCUUUAAAUUAAAUUUUUAUAAUUAAUUAAUUAAUAAAUUUGAAAAUUUUAUAAUUUAUAUUGUUAAUAAAUUUUAAUUUAUUAUAAAUAAUUUCAUUAAAUUUAAAAAUUUAAUUAAUAAUUUAAAAUAUUAUUAAAAAAUAUUUUUUAAUAAAUUAUAUUUAGUUAUAAUGAUAAAAUUAGUAUAUAAUAUUUUAAAAUAUUGAAUUUUAAAUUAUGAUAAUUAUUUUAAAGGAAUUCGACAAAAGUUUAUAUUCACCUGUUUAUCAAAAACAUGUCUUUUUGUAAAUAAUUUAAAGUCUAAUCUGCCCACUGAUUUUUAAUUAAAGGGCUGCAGUAUAUUGACUGUACAAAGGUAGCAUAAUCAAUAGUCUCUUAAUUGGUGACUUGUAUGAAAGAUUGGAUGAAAUAUAGAUUGUCUCUAAUAUAUAUAUUUGAAUUUAAUUUUUUAUUUAAAAAGUUAAAAUAAUUUAAAAAGACGAGAAGACCCUAUAGAGUUUUAUAUUUGUUUAAUUUUAAAUUAUAAUUUAAUUUAAUUAGGUUUAAAUUUAAUUAAAUAUUUUGUUGGGGUGAUAAAAAAAUUAAUAAAACUUUUUUUAAAUUUAAUCAUUAAUAUAUGAAUUUGUUGAUCCAAUUAUUAUUGAUUAUAAGAAAAAAUUACCUUAGGGAUAACAGCGUAAUUUUUUUUUUUAGUACUUAUAAGAAAAAGAGUUUGCGACCUCGAUGUUGGAUUAAGAUAAAAUUUAAAUGCAAAAGUUUAAAAUUUUUGAUCUGUUCGAUCAUUAAAAUCUUACAUGAUCUGAGUUCAAACCGGUGUAAGCCAGGUUGGUUUCUAUCUUUUAAUAAUUUUAAUAUUUUAGUACGAAAGGAUUAAAUAUUAUAAUUAAAUUAAUUAUUUUGAAUU